rnacentral:rRNA from 1 species
GAUGAACGCUGGCGGCGUGCCUAAUACAUGCAAGUCGAGCGAACAGACGAGGAGCUUGCUCCUCUGACGUUAGCGGCGGACGGGUGAGUAACACGUGGAUAACCUACCUAUAAGACUGGGAUAACUUCGGGAAACCGGAGCUAAUACCGGAUAAUAUAUUGAACCGCAUGGUUCAAUAGUGAAAGACGGUUUUGCUGUCACUUAUAGAUGGAUCCGCGCCGCAUUAGCUAGUUGGUAAGGUAACGGCUUACCAAGGCAACGAUGCGUAGCCGACCUGAGAGGGUGAUCGGCCACACUGGAACUGAGACACGGUCCAGACUCCUACGGGAGGCAGCAGUAGGGAAUCUUCCGCAAUGGGCGAAAGCCUGACGGAGCAACGCCGCGUGAGUGAUGAAGGUCUUCGGAUCGUAAAACUCUGUUAUUAGGGAAGAACAAAUGUGUAAGUAACUAUGCACGUCUUGACGGGACCUAAUCAGAAAACCACGGCUAACUACGU